GCCCCCAUCGUCUAGAGGCCCAGGACAUUUCCCUUUCACGGAAGAAACGGGGAUUCGAAUUCCCCUGGGGGUA
rnacentral:tRNA from 1 species